GAGACACCCUUCUGGGGCAAGACUUGCUUCAGUGGGGCUUUGGUGCUCACUGAGUGUGCCCCCUGAGUGUGUCCCU
rfam:Myotis lucifugus cont2.2442, whole genome shotgun sequence.